GGGCUCCAAUCGCCGCAUCGUUUGCGGCCACGCGCUCAACACGUUGAGCUCUACCUUUCUAUCCGAACAAUUUCACUGGUUCAAGUUAGCUUCCGGAACUUGUGGGCUCAAGCUAUUGAGCAUAUGGGUAUGGUGUAGUUUAAUAGGGUGUUUAUGCAUUGGACUUGAAUUUGGAUUACUUGGAGCUUUGUUGGUGACAAGGCUUGCUUUGGGGCUGUUUGAUUGAGCUUGGAGGGGCUGUGAUUUUGUGUUGAGAGGCUGCCUUGGGUGAAUUAAGUGAUUGGCCAAGAUGCAGGUCGAGAGGCUCCUCGCUAGGCGUCUGGAUCUUGGAAAGCGAAGUAGUCCUUGGGUG